GACGAACGCUGGCGGUAUGCUUAACACAUGCAAGUCGAACGAGACAAGAUGGAAGUGCUUGCACGGAAAUCUUAGAAAGUGGCGAACGGGUGAGUAACGCGUGGGUAACCUGCCCUAUGGAAAGGAAUAGCCUCGGGAAACUGGGAGUAAUGCCUUAUAAGAUACAUUUGUCGCAUGGCAGAAGUAUUAAACGCUCCGGUGCCAUAGGAUGGACCCGCGUCCCAUUAGCUAGUUGGUGAGAUAACAGCCCACCAAGGCGACGAUGGGUAACCGGUCUGAGAGGGCGAACGGUCACACUGGAACUGCGACACGGUCCAGACUCCUACGGGAGGCAGCAGUGGGGAAUAUCGCGCAAUGGGGGCAACCCUGACGCAGCAAUACCGCGUGAGUGAAGAAGGUUUUCGGAUCGUAAAGCUCUGUUAUUGGGGAAGAAAAAAAGACGGUACCCAAGAAGAAAGUCCCGGCUAACUACGUGCCAGCAGCCGCAGUAAUAC
rnacentral:rRNA from 1 species